GACGAACGCUGGCGGCGUGCCUAAUACAUGCAAGUCGAGCGCAGGAAGUUAUCUGAUCCUUUUCGGAGGUGACGAUAAUGGAAUGAGCGGCGGACGGGUGAGUAACACGUAGGCAACCUGCCUGUAAGACUGGGAUAACUCGUGGAAACGCGAGCUAAUACCGGAUAACACUUUUCAUCUCCUGAUGAGAAGUUGAAAUGCGGCUUUUGCUGUCACUUACAGAUUGGCCUGCGGCGCAUUAGCUAGUUGGUAAGGUAACGGCUUACCAAGGCGACGAUGCGUAGCCGACCUGAGAGGGUGAUCGGCCACACUGGGACUGAGACACGGCCCAGACUCCUACGGGAGGCAGCAGUAGGGAAUCUUCCGCAAUGGACGAAAGUCUGACGGAGCAACGCCGCGUGAGUGAUGAAGGUUUUCGGAUCGUAAAACUCUGUUGUUAGGGAAGAACAAGUGCCAUAGUAACUGAUGGCACCUUGACGGUACCUAACCAGAAAGCCACGGCUAACUACGUGCCAGCAGCCGCGGUAA
rnacentral:rRNA from 1 species